UACGGGGGGGGCAAGCGUUGUUCGGAAUUACUGGGCGUAAAGCGCGUGUAGGCGGCAACGCAAGUCGGGCGUGAAAUCCCACGGCUCAACCGUGGAAGUGCACUCGAAACUGCGUAGCUAGAGUCCUGGAGAGGAAGGUGGAAUGCUUGGUGUAGAGGUGAAAUUCGUAGAUAUCAAGCGGAACACCGGUGGCGAAGGCGGCCUUCUGGACAGUGACUGACGCUGAGACCCGAAAGCGUGGGGAGCAAACAGG
rnacentral:rRNA from 1 species